rnacentral:siRNA from 1 species
CUGAGAUUCAGCCCUUUGUCGC